rnacentral:rRNA from 1 species
AUUGAACGCUGGCGGCAUGCUUUACACAUGCAAGUCGAACGGCAGCGCGGGCUUCGGCCUGGCGGCGAGUGGCGAACGGGUGAGUAAUAUAUCGGAACGUACCCAAGAGUGGGGGAUAACGUAGCGAAAGUUACGCUAAUACCGCAUACGAUCUAAGGAUGAAAGCAGGGGAUCGCAAGACCUUGUGCUCCUGGAGCGGCCGAUAUCUGAUUAGCUAGUUGGUGGGGUAAAGGCCCACCAAGGCAAUGAUCAGUAGCUGGUCUGAGAGGACGACCAGCCACACUGGAACUGAGACACGGUCCAGACUCCUACGGGAGGCAGCAGUGGGGAAUUUUGGACAAUGGGGGCAACCCUGAUCCAGCAAUGCCGCGUGAGUGAAGAAGGCCUUCGGGUUGUAAAGCUCUUUGUUCAGGGAAGAAAGGUACGUGGCUAAUAUCCACGACUG